CCUACGGGGGCUGCAGUGGGGAAUAUUGGACAAUGGGGGCAACCCUGAUCCAGCCAUGCCGCGUGUGUGAAGAAGGCCCUCGGGUUGUAAAGCACUUUCAGUGAGGAAGAACGCCUGGUGGUUAAUACCCAUCAGGAAAGACAUCACUCACAGAAGAAGCACCGGCUAACUCCGUGCCAGCAGCCGCGGUAAUACGGAGGGUGCGAGCGUUAAUCGGAAUUACUGGGCGUAAAGCGCGCGUAGGUGGCUUGAUAAGCCGGUUGUGAAAGCCCCGGGCUCAACCUGGGAACGGCAUCCGGAACUGUCAAGCUAGAGUGCAGGAGAGGAAGGUAGAAUUCCCGGUGUAGCGGUGAAAUGCGUAGAGAUCGGGAGGAAUACCAGUGGCGAAGGCGGCCUUCUGGACUGACACUGACACUGAGGUGCGAAAGCGUGGGUAGCAAACAGGAUUAGAUACCCCUGUAGUC
rnacentral:rRNA from 1 species